AUGUUAGUCGAGAAGCGUUUGCAUCUGCAUUUUACUUCGUAUCUGGCAAUGGAAUAUAAGAUACUAUAAUGUAUUAUUAUUAUUCCAUGAAACGCACAACAUAUCCUAUUGUUUCCUUCCAAAAUUCACUAUACCAAUUUUUUAUACCCAUUUUUGAAUAUUUGUGUUAAAUAAAAAAAAGAGAAAGAGAAAACCUCUAGAAAUGAAAAGAAUUUGGACCCAAACAUGAAUAACAGAUAAACUACUUGCAAACCAUGCAACAACCUGACCAGUCGCAAAAUGAUGCAAUCCCUCAAAAUAAAGUCGAUGCUUUCUCCAUCUCUGCCACGUUUUUUUCUCAAAGCUAACUCCUUUUCUUCUUCUUCUUCUUCUUCUUCUUCAUUGGAGUUUUCACCAUGGUCAGGUCUCAAGUCUUGGCGAGACAGUCCCCUCAAUGAAAACCGGUUUUGGGGACCCAAUGGCCCACAACCUCCACCACCGCAAUCACCAUUAUCUGAUGCCAAUCAGUAUGAAAUUGAACUGGGUUCUGCUUCCUCUCUUGCUGAGCUUGGUGCUCUUGUUCUCUCCACCAGUGAUCCUCUCAAAAAAUCCAAGCUUUCCCAUCUCGCUUUCGCUAAGUGGCGCAACCACAAGCUUCCCAUUGGAUCUUUUGUCCCACCUUCUACACCCGCUAGACCUCCUAAGCCUGAAUUGGUUUCCCCGAAGGAAAUUCCUGCCCCCAAAGAUUCAGGCUUACCUCUCAAUGCUUAUAUGCUCCAUAAUCUUGCUCAUGUGGAGCUAAAUGCAAUUGAUUUGGCAUGGGACACGGUUGUACGUUUUUCCCCUUUCAGUGAGACUCUUGGAGAAGGAUUCUUUGCUGACUUUGCACAUGUUGCUGAUGAUGAGAGUCGCCAUUUUGCUUGGUGCUCUCAAAGACUUGCUGACCUUGGUUUCAAGUAUGGAGAUAUGCCUGCUCAUAAUUUGUUGUGGAGGGAAUGCAAAAAAUCAUCUGACAGUGUUGCUGCACGAUUGGCAGUGAUCCCACUAGUCCAGGAGGCAAGAGGACUUGAUGCCGGGCCAAGGCUAGUGCAAAAAUUGAUUGGUUUUGGAGAUUCUAAGACAUCUAAAAUUGUGGCUAGAAUUUCUGAUGAAGAAGUUGCUCAUGUAGCUGUUGGUGUCUACUGGUUUAUCUCUGUUUGUCAGAAAGUGGGCUGUCCUCCUUCUUCCACUUUUAAAGCAUGCAGACAUAUUAAGGGAGUACAAUGUGGAGUUGAAAGGGCCCUUUAAUCAUUCGGCAAGAGAAGAAGCUGGGAUUCCCCGUGACUGGUAUGAUGCAUCAUCUACAAAUAAACAAGACAAGAAUGAGAAACGGGGCACAAACGAGCAGCUCUCUGUGGUCUGUGACUGAUCUCUCUCUCUCUCUCUCUCUCUCUCUCUGUGUAUGUGUCCCUCUCUCUCAGAUACACCUACACAUGUACACACAAGGGUAAAUGCAACUUCUGGGAGAUUAACUAUUCUUUUUAAGGGGAGAAUUAGAAUAUGAGGGCAAUUAAUGUUGCAGGUUUAUGAUAGACUUGCUUCGAUCAUCUCCAUGGAGUGUGAAAACGCAAGUUUGAAUAAGCCCCCAGUUUGAUGCUCAUUUAACAGCUGAAACUCGAGGUAUAUAUAGAACUUAUCCUGAUUUGGGGGCUUGAACAUGUGACCUUGGAAACUCAUAUACAUAACUCAACUAGCAUAGCGGUAAUGCGGGCAUAACAAGAGGGCAUGCCAUUCUGGAUUGGAAGUGUAACUGCAGCUUCAUUUUAUCCUGAGUUUGAAAGAUUCUGGCGACUUAAUGUGCUCCUGCCCUUUCCUUGACUUUCAUGUAUCUGCCGAAGUCCACUGAGCUUGGUUUAGUGUAGCUUUGCUUCAUUUUUAGCCGUGGCAUGUGUUAUUUUCUGAUAUUAGAGCAAUGAUCAUCUAUGUAAUUAUAUCCUUGAGCUGCUCAGCAUAAAUUUACCCAUAUAAUGUAGACUCUAACCGCUUCCUUAAUUCAUUUAUAAGUAGAUUUAGUCUUUCAUAUGAAA